ACCAAUGUUUUUUGAAUAGAUAUUUUUAGUAUCAUCUUGUGCAUGUCUUGAUUUAGUUGUUAUCCUUUUCUAUCUAUUAUUAUAGUAUUGUCGUAUGGAUGUAUACUUUAAUAUGGUUUGUUUUUUAUAUUGUUAUCUGUACUGAGCUGGGGGUCAAUCGGAAACAACCUCUCUGCUUUAUUUGAGGUAGUGGUAUAGACUGCGUACACUUAACCCUCCC
rnacentral:lncRNA from 1 species